UAUGCUCCGAAAAUAUCUGUGAAUGCUUUUAACAUAGCAUCUGAUUCCCUCGAACUGAUACAUCUAACUUUUCAUUAUAGUGCGAGCAAUGACUAGCUUCAAGAUAUAUCCAUGCUUUGAUCUUGAACUCUUUAACUAUAAAUAAAUGUGUUUCGAUGGAUAUGAUAGUUGUAGCCAACAAGGAGGUAGAUACUUAAGCUUGGUUUUAGUCCCUUUUGUGUAAGAGUGUUCAGAAGAAAUGGCAUCACAAAAGGUUGAGAAAUCUUGCUGCUCUGGCCAGGCCAAGAGCGAGCCUGUCAAAGCUCCAGUCACCAAACAGGCCCCUAAGAAGCCUGAGCUGAAGCCCCUGGAGCCUAAGAAGAAGGCAUCAGUUGGCGGGACACCAGCAAAGAAAUAAGAAGAACAAGAAUGAGUAGCAAAAAAAUAAGAGGCUGCCUAAUCUAGUUGGUGGUUGUUGUCAUUUUUACUGAAGUUAUGAAAGCACUGGCUUGUUAAUCAUAAUAUCUAUGUAUCGCUUACUAGGCAAGGCCUAAUGUAAUAAAAAUGCAUAUAUUUUAAAAGAUUAUUGUGUCAAUUCCUCUUAUAUAUUGUUUUCUGCUAGAAAUUUUGUAAUGUUUAUAUAUAUAUAUAUAUAUAUAUAUAUAUAAGAAAUAAUGUUAAAUGUUAUUAUAAUUAGGCCGUGGGACCCGCAUGCAUUUUUGGUCAUUAAAAUGCCCAAAGGUCAGUUUAUAGACCACAUUAGUCAACAGACUACGCCACAUCAGUAACGAUGGCCCACAAAUCAAACGGUCAAUGGUCAAAGAUACGUGCCAUUUACCACGUUAUCACUAUACCUCGAACAGAAUUGUGAAGACUUAAAGACCUGAGUUGGGAGUAGGACUCAGAAUUACCUGGGAUCCGAGAGGUAUUUGGUUUGGUGGCUGAAGUCCAAGGCUCGUCGAGUUGACCCUCGACCUGACUCGCAGAGAGAGAAAUACCAUUUUGACUCCCGAAAUUAUCAACCUCAUUUUAAUAUAGCUUUAUAAUUAUUUGAAAUAUUUCUCUUUUUUAAUUAUUAUAUUAAUUAAUUCAUAUGUGAUGUCAUCCAAUAACAUCAUCUAACCUCUCACCUGGCCUAUAUAAGGAAGUGUUCCAAGGCCAAGAGGGGUAGAGCAAACAAGGAGGAAAACACCUCCUAGACAUUGAGAGCUCUAAGCCGCUCUCUCAUAGGUUGUCUUCACAACCUUUAUCUACUGCUACGUUUUAUCUCUCCAUCUCUGGUUUCUAUUUUUUUUUUUUUUUUUUUUCUCUUUUCUUACACUAAAGUCUUGAUUUCUCCUUCAUCAUUGGGAAUUUUUGGAUGCCGUUUGCGACAAAUCGAAGAGAUCGGUGAGAUCUUCAAGUGGGUGUAAGCAAUUUCAGUUUGGUGCACUUUAGGGAUUUCGAAUUUUUGUCUCACUUUGGGAAUUUUGGGGCUUUCUAUAAUUAAGAGGUGUUUGUCAGUACCAGGCUUAGAGCUUGAUCGUGAUGAUGCAGAUACAGUCACUCAUUCUUCCGACUACAUAUGAUUUUCUUUCUUAUUUUUAGUUUUGGAUUUUGAUUCUGUAAAUUUAUUUUUCAUUUGGGAUUAUUAGGAGUCCACUGGAUAGAUUCCCGAGUUAUAAGGAUUGGAAGAUUUAAAUUAUAUUAAACUUUUAUUUUGGAGGAUUUUUACA